AUGAACGCUGGCAGCGUGCCUAAUACAUGCAAGUCGAGCGAACAGAUGAGGAGCUUGCUCCUCUGACGUUAGCGGCGGACGGGUGAGUAACACGUGGAUAACCUACCUAUAAGACUGGGAUAACUUCGGGAAACCGGAGCUAAUACCGGAUAAUAUAUUGAACCGCAUGGUUCAAUAGUGAAAGACGGUUUUGCUGUCACUUAUAGAUGGAUCCGCGCCGCAUUAGCUAGUUGGUAAGGUAACGGCUUACCAAGGCAACGAUGCGUAGCCGACCUGAGAGGGUGAUCGGCCACACUGGAACUGAGACACGGUCCAGACUCCUACGGGAGGCAGCAGUAGGGAAUCUUCCGCAAUGGGCGAAAGCCUGACGGAGCAACGCCGCGUGAGUGAUGAAGGUCUUCGGAUCGUAAAACUCUGUUAUUAGGGAAGAACAAAUGUGUAAGUAACUAUGCACGUCUUGACGGUACCUAAUCAGAAAGCCACGGCUAACUACGUG
rnacentral:rRNA from 1 species